CCGUCCGUAGCUCAACGGCAGAGCAUCCGCCCCGAAGGCGGGCGAUGCGGGUUCGAGUCCCGCCGGGCAUG
rnacentral:tRNA from 1 species